rnacentral:rRNA from 1 species
UACGAAGGGGGCUAGCGUUGCUCGGAAUCACUGGGCGUAAAGCGCACGUAGGCGGUCUUUUAAGUCAGGGGUGAAAUCCUGGAGCUCAACUCCAGAACUGCCUUUGAUACUGAGAGACUUGAGUCCGGGAGAGGUGAGUGGAACUGCGAGUGUAGAGGUGAAAUUCGUAGAUAUUCGCAAGAACACCAGUGGCGAAGGGCGGCUCACUGGCCCGGUACUGACGCUGACGGUGGCGAAAGCGUGGGGAGCAAAGCAGGAGUUAAGAUGACC